UGAGAACACUUCUGUUCGCUGUCAAACACCCUCUUCCUCAGCAGACAAGCCAGAGGAUCUUAAAGGCAAAGACAUGGAAGAGUGAAGAUCUUGAACUUCAGUGAUUUAGUGGGCUUACUUGGAUACAUAUGGAAAAUUGGAGCCUCAGAUUAUACGAUGCCUGGAAAAGCAGCUCCAUGCUCCACAGUUCCUUGAUCUGCAGUAAUUUAUUUCUGCAGCAUUAUUUGCUGGCAAAUCUUGUGAAAACUGAGGUUAAUCAUUUUCAGGGAAGACUUAUGUGAAGAAUCACAAGGCACUUCUAUCAUGUGCUGUGCAGCCAAGCUGUAUGGAAACUUGCGUGAGAGAUUUCACAGCCUGGUUUCAGAAUUUUCGGAAGGGAUCUGACUGUAGACCAAAAAAAUAAAGAAAAGAAAAGAAAAAAACCAAAACACUAAAAAAGCCCUCAGCUGGUACAGGGUAAAGAAAAGCCUCAAGGGUACUCCAUCUCCAGUUUCCUGCAGUUCUGGACAAAAGGUGUUAUAUUUGUAGGUAAACAAGCACUUGGGAGUUAUGAGUAGUCCCAACGAGGCCAGAACUUGAAGGACUCCUGGCUGCUUCAAGGAUUUCCAGUCUUUUCAGAGCUGUGCGCAAGCUGCUGAAGUUUGAAAUACUCCAAUUCCAUGUUCAGUGUGAAACAGGAUGUUUUUAUCAUGAUUCAGCUCAGCCUGCUUUAUGCAGAAGCUCUGUCCCUGAACAUGUUCAUUAUUCCUGUCCAAGAAGACAAGAUUGUUAUGUGGUGUCCUGGAAAAAAAAAAUCUCAGAUUCUGGAAAAGGAUCCAUGGAGGUUAUUCACUGGGUUCAGCUCUUGCAGUCACUGUCUUUGAUGCCCUGAUUCCUAUAGCAAGUUCCUGAGAAAAUUUCUCAGGGUUGCAAAGACAUUACCUGUUUCCCAAAGAUGACAGACUGAUCUCUUUGCAAUGAUGACUACUGAAGUUCUUUUCUUCUCAAUUUCUAACGCAAAGACUUAAUAUAAUAAUAAAAAAAUUGUUCUCAGAAGAAAUCCUUAAGAUCAACAAAAACACAAUCUCUAAUUUUCUGGGACACUUGUAGUGCUUGCAGAAGUUUGGAUCAGAGUAUUUUGGCCAGCAAACUAGGUAAGAGAAAAUGAUUUGCAGUUUGGUUUCUUCAGGUGGAAGAAGGAGUGAGAAGACAAUGAUCUGCACAACAAUGGGGCUUCUGUUCUGAAAUUAUUUUAUUAAUAUCAGUAUAUAUUUUGUUCCAGUGGGUUCUGGUUGGAUACAAUGGACAGACUACACUUUGACAAAAAGGAUUCUAACGCUACAAAAAUACAAUUAUCAGCUUUCUGUUUGGAUGGUAGUAGGAAAGAUGGGAAGAUGGAAAUUCAUUCUGAUUUCAGCCAUCCAAGAGGCACCUAUGAUGUAUAGAAGAGUGUGAAGUAGAGUUGAUCUAAAAAAUAGAUUACUUUUAUCUAACGGUGCAUCCAUGUACAAAAUGGAAAAUAAGUAAGAAGGACAAACUAGAAAAAUUGAAGUUUGUUAUGGUGAUUAUAACAUACACAGAACUGAGAGAACAAGAUUUUUCUAAUGUUCUUUCAUAAGAAAUCAGUUUGGAAGAAUACAAGCAGUUAACACAGAAAAUAGAAGAAACACAUCACUGUGUAUCAGAGUACAUAUUUACAAUGCAGAUGAGAUCAGAUAAUUUGACAGUGAUGAGUGUACAGAUAAAAUCUAUGAAUUCUAGAAAUUCUCUAGUCUUAAGUGCUAAAAAAUACUGAAUAUGAGGAGACCUUUCUGCCAGCUACUUAGAGAGGAAGCAGGAAGUCUGCUUUGAUGUUCAAAAUACUAGAGAAAUGUCGAAAAACCUGUAGGCAUUUAACUGCCCAGAUUAUUUCCUGGUCAAAAAAAAAAAAAAAAAAAAGCAAA